UUCACGGAGAGUUUGAUCCUGGCUCAGGACGAACGCUGGCGGCGUGCUUAACACAUGCAAGUCGAACGAUGAACCACUUCGGUGGGGAUUAGUGGCGAACGGGUGAGUAACACGUGGGCAAUCUGCCCUGCACUCUGGGCCAAGCCCUGGAAACGGGGUCUAAUACCGGAUACAACCACUAGGGGCAUCUCUUGGUGGUGGAAAGCUCCGGCGGUGCAGGAUGACGCCCGCGGCCUAUCAGUCUUGUUGGUGAGGUA
rnacentral:ncRNA from 1 species